CCCUAAAGAAGAAAGUCGCAAGACGCCGAGAGAGGAGCCCGCGGCCGAUUAGCUAGUUGGUAGGGUAAAAGCCUACCAAGGCUAUGAUCGGUAACCGGCCUGAGAGGGCACACGGCCACACUGGCACUGAAACACGGGCCAGACUCCUACGGGAGGCAGCAGUGGGGAAUCUUGCACAAUGGGGGAAACCCUGAUGCAGCGACGCCGCGUGAGUGAUGAAGCCCUUCGGGGUGUAAAGCUCUUUCGACAGGAACGAUAAUGACGGUACCUGGAGAAGAAGCUGCGGCUAACUACGUGCCAGCAGCCGCGGUUAUACGUAGGCAGCAAACGUUGUUCGGAAUUACUGGGCCGUAAAGAGUGUGUAGGCGGUUUUGUAAAGUUUGGUGUGAAAUCUUCCGGCUUAACUGGGA
rnacentral:rRNA from 1 species